rnacentral:rRNA from 1 species
GAGUUUGAUCAUGGCUCAGAUUGAACGCUGGCGGCAGGCCUAACACAUGCAAGUCGAGCGGUAGAGAGAAGCUUGCUUCUCUUGAGAGCGGCGGACGGGUGAGUAAUGCCUAGGAAUCUGCCUGGUAGUGGGGGAUAACGCUCGGAAACGGACGCUAAUACCGCAUACGUCCUACGGGAGAAAGCAGGGGACCUUCGGGCCUUGCGCUAUCAGAUGAGCCUAGGUCGGAUUAGCUAGUUGGUGAGGUAAUGGCUCACCAAGGCGACGAUCCGUAACCGUCUGAGAGGAGUGAUCAGUCACACUGGAACUGAGACACGGUCCGAGACUCCUA